GCCUACGGGGGGCAGCAGUAGGGAAUAUUGCUCAAUGGGGGAAACCCUGAAGCAGCAACGCCGCGUGGAGGAUGAAGGUUUUCGGAUUGUAAACUCCUUUUGUUAGAGAAGAUAAUGACGGUAUCUAACGAAUAAGCACCGGCUAACUCCGUGCCAGCAGCCGCGGUAAUACGGAGGGUGCAAGCGUUACUCGGAAUCACUGGGCGUAAAGAGCGCGUAGGCGGGAUAGCAAGUCAGAUGUGAAAUCCUAUGGCUUAACCAUAGAACGGCAUAUGAAACUGUUAUUCGAGAGGAUGGGAGAGGAA
rnacentral:rRNA from 1 species